rfam:Hordeum vulgare subsp. vulgare, WGS project CAJW01000000 data, contig: morex_contig_1605071
GAAGUACUUCCUUCGUCCGGAAUUACUUGUCGCAUAAACGAAUGAAAAUGGAUGUAUCUAGAACUAAAAUACAUCUAGAUACAUUCAUUCCUAUGACAAGUACUUCCGGAUGGAGGAAGUAUUUU